rnacentral:lncRNA from 1 species
CAGCUCCAACUCCAACACCGCCUCCUCCCCCAGCUCCCACAUCGCCAGUCCAAGCAGUUCCCUUGGCAGCUGCAUUUCCCGUGGUUGAGGCUGCUGAGCCCAACUUCAUGGAGAACCCCCCGAGCGCCUCCACGCCAUAUGUAUCUGCUGGAGGGGGUCCUCCUUCAACUGCCUCAACUGCGGAAGCUGCACCAGGCGGGGACGAAGGUGCUCACAACUCGCCUAUUAUCAUCACCG